rnacentral:rRNA from 1 species
AUUGAACGCUGGCGGCAUGCUUUACACAUGCAAGUCGAACGGUAACAGGCCGCAAGGUGCUGACGAGUGGCGAACGGGUGAGUAAUGCAUCGGAACGUGCCCAGUCGUGGGGGAUAACGCAGCGAAAGCUGUGCUAAUACCGCAUACGAUCUAUGGAUGAAAGCGGGGGACCGUAAGGCCUCGCGCGAUUGGAGCGGCCGAUGUCAGAUUAGGUAGUUGGUGGGGUAAAGGCUCACCAAGCCAACGAUCUGUAGCUGGUCUGAGAGGACGACCAGCCACACUGGGACUGAGACACGGCCCAGACGCCGACGGGGGGCAGCAGUGGGGAAUUUUGGACAAUGGGCGCAAGCCUGAUCCAGCAAUGCCGCGUGCAGGAAGAAGGCCUUCGGGUUGUAAACUGCUUUUGUACGGAACGAAAAGGUUUGGGUUAAUACCCUGGGCCGAUGACGGUACCGUAGAAUAAGCACCGGCUAACUACGUGCCAGCCGCCGCCGUAAAAC